CCUACGGGUGGCAGCAGUGGGGAAUAUUGGACAAUGGGCGAAAGCCUGAUCCAGCCAUGCCGCGUGUGUGAAGAAGGCCUUCGGGUUGUAAAGCACUUUCAGUGGGGAAGAAAGCCUUGGGGCUAAUACCCUCGAGGAAGGACAUCACCCACAGAAGAAGCACCGGCUAACUCCGUGCCAGCAGCCGCGGUAAUACGGAGGGUGCGAGCGUUAAUCGGAAUUACUGGGCGUAAGGCGCGCGUAGGCGGUCUGAUAAGCCGGUUGUGAAAGCCCCGGGCUCAACCUGGGAACGGCAUCCGGAACUGUCAGGCUAGAGUGCAGGAGAGGAAGGUAGAAUUCCCGGUGUAGCGGUGAAAUGCGUAGAGAUCGGGAGGAAUACCAGUGGCGAAGGCGGCCUUCUGGACUGACACUGACGCUGAGGUGCGAAAGCGUGGGUAGCAAACAGGAUUAGAUACCCGGGUAGUC
rnacentral:rRNA from 1 species